UACGAAGGGGGCUAGCGUUGCUCGGAAUCACUGGGCGUAAAGCGCACGUAGGCGGCUUACUAAGUCAGGGGUGAAAUCCUGGAGCUCAACUCCAGAACUGCCUUCGAUACUGGGAGUCUUGAGUCCGGGAGAGGUGAGUGGAACUGCGAGUGUAGAGGUGAAAUUCGUAGAUAUUCGCAAGAACACCAGUGGCGAAGGCGGCUCACUGGCCCGGUACUGACGCUGAGGUGCGAAAGCGUGGGGAGCAAACAGG
rnacentral:rRNA from 1 species